AAGUAGUAUCCCAUAGUUUCUUUAGGAUAUCCUAUAAAAUGAGUUCUAAAGGACCUAGCCUCUAACUUGUCUGCAUAUUGUCAUUUGACAUGGACCGGACAUCCCCAAAUCUUGAGAUACCCAAAAGUUGGCUUCUUUAUGCUAUAACUCAUAUGGUGUGAUAGAAAUGGAUUUAAAGAGAACCUGAUUCACAAGAUGAAUCACAGAAAGCAAUGCAUAUCUUCAGAGAA
rnacentral:lncRNA from 1 species